rnacentral:rRNA from 1 species
GAUGAACGCUAGCGGCAGGCCUAAUACAUGCAAGUCGAACGGUAGAUCGGGUAGCAAUACUUGAUUGAGAGUGACGUAAGGGUGCGUAACACGUAUGCAAUCUACCCUCAACAGGAGUAUAGCUCGGGGAAACUCGGAUUAACACUCCAUAACAUUACGAUGUGGCAUCACAUUGUGAUUAAAACUCCGGUGGUUGAGGAUGAGCAUGCGUCUGAUUAGUUAGUUGGAGGUGUAACGGACCCCCAAGACGAUGAUCAGUAGGGGAACUGAGAGGUUGAUCCCCCACACUGGCACUGAGAUACGGGCCAGACUCCUACGGGAGGCAGCAGUAGGGAAUAUUGGUCAAUGGGUGAGAGCCUGAACCAGCCAUGCCGCGUGCAGGAAGACGGCCUUCUGGGUUGUAAACUGUCUUUUAUCGUGGGGAAUAAAAAGCCCAUGCGGUGGACAUUGAAGGUACCAGAUGAAUAAGCACCGGCUAACUACGUG